rnacentral:rRNA from 1 species
UACGUAGGGGGCAAGCGUUGUCCGGAAUCAUUGGGCGUAAAGCGCGUGCAGGCGGUUUUUUAAGUCUGUGGUGAAAGACCGGGGCUCAACCCCGGAGUGUCCAUGGAGACUGGAAGACUGGAGUGUCGGAGAGGAGUGCGGAAUUCCUGGUGUAGCGGUGAAAUGCGUAGAUAUCGAGAGGAACACCUGAGGUGAAGACGGGUUGCUGGGCCGACACUGACGCUGACAGCGCGAAAGCCAGGGGAGCAAACGGG